GGCUUGUUAGCUCAGUUGGUAGAGCACUACACUGAUAUUGCAGAGGUCAUGGGUUCAUAUCCCGUACAGGAUA
rnacentral:tRNA from 1 species